GGCAGGGUAGCUCAAUCGGUAGAGCAGCGGAAUCAUAAUCCGUGAGUUGGGGGUUCGAGUCCCCCCCCUGCUA
rnacentral:tRNA from 2 species